GGGCUUGUAGCUCAGUUGGUUAGAGCGCUGCCUUGAUAAGGCAGAAGUCAUUGGUUCGAGUCCAAUCUAGCCCA
rnacentral:tRNA from 2 species